rnacentral:rRNA from 1 species
UAUGGGUGGCGAGUGGCGGACGGGUGAGUAAUGCAUCGGGAUCUACCCAGACGUGGGGGAUAACGUAGGGAAACCGGGACUAAUACCGCAUACGUCCUACGGGAGAAAGCAGGGGACCUUCGGGCCUUGCGCGGCUAUGGACGAACCGAUGUGCGAUUAGCUAGUUGGUGGGGUAAUGGCCCACCAAGGCGACGAUCGCUAGCUGGUCUGAGAGGAUGAUCAGCCACACUGGGACUGAGACACGGCCCAGACUCCUACGGGAGGCAGCAGUGGGGAAUAUUGGACAAUGGGCGCAAGCCUGAUCCAGCAAUGCCGCGUGUGUGAAGAAGGCCCUCGGGUUGUAAAGCACUUUUAUCAGGAGCGAAAUACCACGGGUUAAUACCCUAUGGGGCUGACGGUAC